rnacentral:lncRNA from 1 species
CAAGCAAGGGAACAAAGAGAAAAAGAGAAGAACAAACACUAGGAAGGAAAAAUUCAAGAGAAAUUGUUGGAUUUCAAGGAAUCAAGCAAGUAAAGGUAAGAUUUUUUAAUUUUAGCUUGUGAUCUACCUCUCACAUGCAUUCUUUUUCAUUCUCCAUGGCUGAAAUUCAAGUUUUCAAGAGGGAACCUUUGCUGGCCAAAUCUAGAGAGAGAAGUUUUGGUGAUGAAUUUUAUGAGAUUUCAUAAUAUCCUAGUGUUUUUAGUCAUUUUGUGAUGUUUGGAAGUAAAAACAAGCAAGAAAAUCACAUGUUCUUCAACCACCCUCAUUUGGCCGAAUUUUCUAUAGGGCAUGUUGAUGAUGGAUUUGGUGGUAUUUCAUGUAAUUUAGCUAGGAAUUGAUAAUUAUAGGGUUGGAUAUUGAAACUGGUUAUUGAAAAAUAUAGUUCCUUUAGAAAAUGGCUUGAUGGAAAAUGAGAAAAUCAUAAUAAAUGGACUUGGAUUUGAUUCCUAAUGAUAUAUAUGGAUUUACGAGACUGUGUAGACAUUGAUUAGUAUGUUAGUUCGGAAUCGGAAUGAAUUUCAGAAAAUGGUGAUGUUAGUAAAAAAUCAAGUUCAUUGUAAUGCUUUGGUGUAUUAGAUUAUUGGGAGUGUAAUGAAUUUAUAUGGAAUUGAAUCGAAUGUUUUGGUUAAAUAAAUGGUGUAUAAUUCGAAUUAGGUUGAAUACAAAUUCAUUCCGAUCACAAUUGAACCCACCUAGAACACCGUCUUUAAGUGAUUAUUUGGACAAUUCUCAUUCAAUGUCAUGCAUUCAUAUGGAGCCUAAAAUAGUUUUAUAACAGUUUGGCAUAAAUAUAUUGAAUUACGUGUCGCGUAUUAUGUAUAGGUGGUGAGCCUUUUGAUAAGGGUACAGAUAUUGUGCCCGAGGACCAAGAAUAGGAGUAAUCAGACUUUCAUCUUAACUAUCUAAAGUAGUUUAUACUCGUUUUUAUGUUUUAAAGAAAAAUGAAUUUAAAUUGCAAACUAUUAUGUUUUAUAAUUGAAGUGUUGAUUAAACGAAAUGAGAUUUAUAACUUGUUUUGAAAUUGAAUACUGGUUUUGGAAAUUGAGUAAGUGGAGACUGUAUAUUUCUGUUAUAUAUAUGUUUUGACAUAUGGUUUGAAUUGAUGGCUUAUGACAAUGUGAUGGCAAGCAUGGCUGGAUUUGUGUUUGUGUGGAAUAUAUGAACUGUUUUGCUUUGCCUUGACAGGUUGGUAAUAUUAUAUUAGCCAUGUCAUGUUAUCGGAAAUUUUACUGAAUUGGUGGGUUAUUUGAUUAGCUUAUUGCAGUGGGAGGGUUUCCAUGGACCAGCCUAUUAGAGGGGCACGGUAAACCCCGUUAUAUUUACCCUAGUACGAAAGGUGCGGAGGGUAUCUCCUAAGGUACAGUUAGAGUUCACCUCAUGCCGAACCACCACGUGAGGGUGAAACUUAGCCAACGCCAAGGAAUGGCUAUACUUUUAAAUGUAAAAAUGAGUUUUAUACUUAUAUGUUAUUUUAACAGCCUUGGCGGACUCGGUUGGAUGCCUGAUGCAAGGUGUCACCGAGUGCAAGUUUUUUACACGGGCCAAGUUUUAAGAGAAUCAUAAGCCUUGUUGAUUUUUAUGAAAUGAAAUGAGAUUCGAUGUUAUGAAUCAUAUUAUGAUGAGAUAUUUUAAAUUGUCUCCAUUUACUCGACUUUAGAUGUUUUAGAUGAAAUUUGCUUACUCAGUGGGUUUAUAAAAACUCACCCCUUCUUUUUACCCAUUUUAG